AGGGGUAUAGCUCAAGUGGUAGAGCAUGUGCUUAGCAUGCAUGAGGUCCUUUGCAUGCAUGAGGUCCUAGGUUUAAUUCCUAGGUACCUCCU
rnacentral:tRNA from 1 species